rnacentral:rRNA from 1 species
CCCCUAGAUGUUCUGGGCCGCACGCGCGCUACACUGAACAGUUCAACAAGUCUUAACCUUGGCCGAUAGGUCUGGGUAAUCUUUGAACGCUGUUCGUGAUUGGGAUAGACCUUUGCAAUUAUGGGUCUUCAACGAGGAAUUCCUAGUAAACGCAAGUCAUCAGCUUGCAUUGAUUACGUCCCUGCCCUUUGUACACACCGCCCGUCGCACCUACCGAUUGGAUGGUCCGGUGAAAUCUCGGGACGGCGGCUUGGUCGCUUGCGUCCGACUGCUGAAACUUGAUUAAACCAUAUCAUUUAGAGGAAGGUGAANUCGUAACA